rnacentral:rRNA from 1 species
AGGAGCUUGCUCCUUUGACGUUAGCGGCGGACGGGUGAGUAACACGUGGGUAACCUACCUAUAAGACUGGGAUAACUUCGGGAAACCGGAGCUAAUACCGGAUAACAUUUGGAACCGCAUGGUUCUAAAGUGAAAGAUGGUUUUGCUAUCACUUAUAGAUGGACCCGCGCCGUAUUAGCUAGUUGGUAAGGUAACGGCUUACCAAGGCGACGAUACGUAGCCGACCUGAGAGGGUGAUCGGCCACACUGGAACUGAGACACGGUCCAGACUCCUACGGGAGGCAGCAGUAGGGAAUCUUCCGCAAUGGGCGAAAGCCUGACGGAGCAACGCCGCGUGAGUGAUGAAGGGUUUCGGCUCGUAAAACUCUGUUAUUAGGGAAGAACAAACGUGUAAGUAACUGUGCACGUCUUGACGGUACCUAAUCAGAAAGCCACGGCUAACUACGUGCCAGCAGCCGCGGUAAUACGUAGGUGGCAAGCGUUAUCCGGAAUUAUUGGGCGUAAAGCGCGCGUA